CUACGGGUCGCACCAGUGGGGAAUAUUGGGCAAUGGGCGCAAGCCUGACCCAGCAACGCCGCGUGAGGGAAGGAGGUUUUCGGAUUGUAAACCUCUGUCCUUGGGGACGAAGAAGUGACGGUACCCAAGGAGGAAGCUCCGGCUAAUUACGUGCCAGCAGCCGCGGUAAUACGUAGGGAGCAAGCGUUGUCCGGAAUUACUGGGCGUAAAGGGUGCGUAGGCGGCAUAUUAAGUCAGGUGUGAAAUACUCGGGCUCAACCCGGGGGCUGCAUUUGAAACUGAUAUGCUUGAGUGUGAGAGAGGAAAGUGGAAUUCCUAGUGUAGCGGUGGAAUGCGUAGAUAUUAGGAGGAACACCAGUGGCGAAGGCGACUUUCUGGCUCAUAACUGACGCUGAGGCACGAAAGCGUGGGGAGCAAACAGGAUUAGAUAUCCGUGUACUC
rnacentral:rRNA from 1 species